ensembl:lincRNA 4933406K04Rik RIKEN cDNA 4933406K04 gene
ACCUAAACCAACUGCUUUCCUCAGGGAGACCAACAUCUCAUUCAAACCACGGCAGCCUGCAAAAGCUAGGCUUCGUUCUUGUGUGUGUGUCCAGGAUCUUUCGUGGGCCCAAAGAGCUGGAGAGGGUCUUUACUGCCUUACCGCUGGUAUUUGCCACAGAAGCAGAAGCGAAGACCUCACAUCAUGAUGCUGGCUUCUGCUGCAUGUAAAGGCUAUGCUGUGGUGCUGUGAUAUGAGUUAUAUGUGCCAUAGCAUGCAGAGAAAGAAUAUUUGAUUAAGGACCAAGAUAUCUUACAGAAGAAAGGGUUUACAGUUCCAGAGUGAUGAGCAUUCAUGGUGACAGAGUUGAAGCAUAAAGCAUGACAGCAGGUGACAGGCAAGACAAGGAGGAAACUGAGAGCUCACACUUGACAAAGCAGAGAAUGGGAAUUGGAGUGUAAACUGAAGACCAGAAGCUGACCUUUGGAGACAUCUAGUCCAGCAGAGCAGCUGCUGCAUUCUCAGUAUCUUCAACGUGAGACAACCAUGUCGGAAAACCCAACCCAUAUCACUUUCAGGUUCUGAUGUCGCCGUCUGGCCUAAAGCCCCUGCAUGCACUGGUGCUACUGCGUAUGAACUCACAUAAGCGCACGCAAACACAUAAAAACAGCAAGAUAAAGUUUCACAUCGAAACAUUCGCACCACAGCAUGGACGCUUCUCUCUGCACUUGGACAUAUUUUCAGUGGAAUGAGAAUACAGACAAAAAGAGGCAAUAGGCACCUGUAAUGAAGUUCUGACAAUAAAAGAAGUUGGGCAUCUCAUUUCCAUCUUGCAUGCCAAAUCUUUCAUACUCUCCUGGAAGAUGACCCCAACACAUCAAGUGCAAGAGAAUGAAGAUACAGAACAUUCCACUGCAAUCAUGUCCGAGCCUGAUCACAGCAUCCAUUCGGGUACCAUCCUUGUCCCCCCUUCACAUGGCGAAACUGGUAGCGGAGAGAAGCUGCAGUCAACACAAACUCACACAGACAGUGCACCCCAAGAAGAGGGCCAGGGCUCCAGGAAAGAGAGAUGUGUCGCUCUGCCAUCAUACCUACCAUACCUACCAUGAGCAAUUGGAUGCCAGGCACUCACAUUUCCAAACCUAAGCAAGCAGCAGAGACGGC